rnacentral:rRNA from 1 species
GCUCAGAUUGAACGCUGGCGGCAGGCCUAACACAUGCAAGUCGAGCGGUAGCACAGGGAGCUUGCUCCUGGGUGACGAGCGGCGGACGGGUGAGUAAUGUCUGGGAAACUGCCUGAUGGAGGGGGAUAACUACUGGAAACGGUAGCUAAUACCGCAUAACGUCGCAAGACCAAAGAGGGGGACCUUCGGGCCUCUUGCCAUCAGAUGUGCCCAGAUGGGAUUAGCUAGUAGGUGGGGUAAUGGCUCACCUAGGCGACGAUCCCUAGCUGGUUUGAGAGGAUGACCAGCCACACUGGAACUGAGACACGGUCCAGACUCCUACGGGAGGCAGCAGUGGGGAAUAUUGCACAAUGGGCGCAAGCCUGAUGCAGCCAUGCCGCGUGUAUGAAGAAGGCCUUCGGGUUGUAAAGUACUUUCAGCGAGGAGGAAGGCAUUGUGGUUAAUAACCACAGUGAUGACGUACUCGC